rnacentral:lncRNA from 1 species
AGGAUGCUUCUUUGGCAGGAUUAAGCCAAUGAGUCCAAGAAAAACAACAAUACCUAUUUCUGGUCGUGAGGACCUAUGAAGGGCAUCCUAUAGUGUGGAGUUAAGGGCUUGUGGCAUGAAGUCACGGAGGCUUAUUGUUGACUUGCAAGAUCAUAGGUGUUGCCAUUGCUGGAGGAAGAGUGGGAGGGUGGUUCUUCGUCCCGUUGCAGUUGGUACAUGUUAUGUCUUCAGCACAUUGAUAGCAAAUAUAGUUCUCUCAGGGUAACCAACUCCCUCCCAAUUACCAGAAGAUGAUGUUACCUUAUGCUAUGUCAUCCCAUAGAUAGGUCAGCAAAUAGCACUGGAAUUUAACCCUUUGAAGCCACCACUUGAGUGACUCAAGAUCCAUCCCUAGGUUUG